rnacentral:rRNA from 1 species
CCUACGGGAGGCAGCAGUGAGGAAUAUUGGUCAAUGGACGCAAGUCUGAACCAGCCAUGCCGCGUGCAGGAAGACGGCUCUAUGAGUUGUAAACUGCUUUUGUACGAGGGUAAACGUGGAUACGCGUAUUUAUCUGAAAGUACCGUACGAAUAAGGAUCGGCUAACUCCGUGCCAGCAGCCGCGGUAAUACGGAGGAUUCAAGCGUUAUCCGGAUUUAUUGGGUUUAAAGGGUGCGUAGGCGGUGGGAUAAGUUAGAGGUGAAAUGACGAAGCUUAACUCGGGAACUGCCUCUGAUACUGUUGAGCUAGAGAGUAGUUGCGGUAGGCGGAAUGUAUGGUGUAGCGGUGAAAUGCUUAGAGAUCAUACAGAACACCGAUUGCGAAGGCAGCUUACCAAGCUACUUCUGACGUUGAGGCACGAAAGCGUGGGGAGCAAACAGGAUUAGAUACCCCAGUAGUC